AGAACGAACGCUGGCGGCAGGCUUAACACAUGCAAGUCGAACGCGUGUAGCAAUACACGAGUGGCGCACGGGUGAGUAACGCGUGGAUAUCUGCCUUUUGGUUCGGAAUAACCCCGGGAAACUGGGGCUAAUACCGGAUGGUUCCUACGGGAUAAAGAUUUAUCGCCAAAAGAUGAGUCCGCGUACGAUUAGCUAGUUGGUGAGGUAAUGGCUCACCAAGGCGACGAUCGUUAGCUGGUCUGAGAGGACGAUCAGCCACACUGGGACUGAGACACGGCCCAGACUCCUACGGGAGGCAGCAGUGGGGAAUAUUGCGCAAUGGGCGAAAGCCUGACGCAGCGACGCCGCGUGAGGGAUGAAGGCCUUCGGGUUGUAAACCUCUUUCAGCAGGGACGAAGCGAAAGUGACGGUACCUGCAGAAGAAGCACCGGCCAACUACGUGCCAGCAGCCGC
rnacentral:rRNA from 1 species